UACGUAGGGUGCGAGCGUUAAUCGGAAUUACUGGGCGUAAAGCGUGCGCAGGCGGUUUUGUAAGCCAGAUGUGAAAUCCCCGGGCUCAACCUGGGAAUGGCAUUUGGGACUGCAAGGCUGGAGUACGGCAGAGGAGACUGGAAUUCCUGGUGUAGCAGUGAAAUGCGUAGAUAUCAGGAGGAAUACCGAUGGCGAAGGCAGGUCUCUGGGCUGAUACUGACGCUCAUGCACGAAAGCGUGGGGAGCGAAACAAA
rnacentral:rRNA from 1 species